UACGGGGGGGCAAGCGUUGUUCGGAAUUACUGGGCGUAAAGGGCUCGUAGGCGGCCAACUAAGUCAGACGUGAAAUCCCUCGGCUUAACCGGGGAACUGCGUCUGAUACUGGAUGGCUUGAGGUUGGGAGAGGGAUGCGGAAUUCCAGGUGUAGCGGUGAAAUGCGCAGAUAUCAGGAGGAACACCGGUGGCGAAGGCGGGUCUCUGGGCAGUGAACUGACGCUGAGGAGCGAAAGCGUGGGGAGCGAACAGG
rnacentral:rRNA from 1 species